GACGAACGCUGGCGGCGUGCUUAACACAUGCAAGUCGAACGGAAAGGCCCUGCUUUUGUGGGGUGCUCGAGUGGCGAACGGGUGAGUAACACGUGAGUAACCUGCCCUUGACUUUGGGAUAACUUCAGGAAACUGGGGCUAAUACCGGAUAGGAGCUCCUGCUGCAUGGUGGGGGUUGGAAAGUUUCGGCGGUUGGGGAUGGACUCGCGGCUUAUCAGCUUGUUGGUGGGGUAGUGGCUUACCAAGGCUUUGACGGGUAGCCGGCCUGGGAGGGUGACCGGCCACAGUGGGACUGAGAGACGGCCCAGACUCCUACGGGAGGCAGCAGGGGGGAAUAUUGCACAAUGGGCGGAAGCCUGAUGCAGCAACGCCGCGUGCGGGAUGACGGCCUUCGGGUUGUAAACCGCUUUCGCCUGUGACGAAGCGUGAGUGACGGUAAUGGGUAAAGAAGCACCGGCUAACUACGUG
rnacentral:rRNA from 1 species